rnacentral:lncRNA from 1 species
CACUGGAACCCUACACCAUGGUGUUGCACCUUCUUUCCUAUAAAAAGGGAGUGUUACACCUAGGUUCCACAUCCCAUAUCUGGAUGAUUUUGGUGUGAGAAUGAGAGGAUAAAGGUUCCACAUCCCACCUCCUUUCCGUCGAUCUUCUGAAGGUCGACGUCACCUCGAUCCAUCAUUUUUCGGAUGAGAUGGUAGCGGCGCAGAAUAUGCUUCGUCCGCUGGUGUGCCUUCGGUUCCUUCACCUGAGCUAUGGCUCUAGAGCUGUCACAGU